AAGACUCUAGUAAAAUAGCCAUUACACUGCUUUGUCAGGGCAGAGUUGCGAGUUAGAAUCUCGCGUGACUUG
rnacentral:tRNA from 1 species